AGGGAAAAAGCUCAGAGGCAAAGCACAUGCUUCGUAUGCAAGAGGUCCUGGGUUCAAUCCCCUGUAUCUCCA
rnacentral:tRNA from 1 species